rnacentral:tRNA from 1 species
GUAGGGGUGGCAGAGCCCGGUAACUGCAAAAGAUCUAAACUCUUUCGACAAAGGUUCAAAUCCUUUCUCCAACU